CCCGAAACUCAUGGCUGCCUGGAGG
rnacentral:piRNA from 1 species